UUAACCUUCCAUACCCAUUAACUAGAUUGGUUCCGGUUUCAUGGUCGCCAGAUUGCUGAGUCCUCAUGGCUCAUAGAUUACUACACCACCACUGGUUCACGUACCAUAGAUCCAGAGGCUUUUCAUGCUAUGCAGAUGAAGGCGAUGGUCACGUGUACGUGAUGUACCCCGACGAUUAGAGGACUUUGGUCGUCUCCUGGGCUAGCGAGACAAAUGAUUGCAAUUUUGUCGUUUAUCUUGUCCUUUAUCAGACCCUGUCUUAUGAAUGAUUUGCAAUAAAUUGUUGAGUGAGUUGUAACUUAACUUGUGGUGAGUGUAAGCCAUUCCAUAUACUCAUGUCUUCAUGUAUGUAUUGCAAUGAUUCCUAUAUUUGUGAAACACUAAGA
rnacentral:lncRNA from 1 species